AAUAUUGGUCAAUAGCCUAACGGCUUGAACCAGCAACUUGGAGGAAUGUAUGGCGAAAGCUGGUUGCAUUUACUAAAAAGGUGCAAGAUUGAUUCUAUCGAAUAAAGUUCUAGAUAGGUUAUGAUGAUGACAUUUCCUGUCUAUGUGUCUUGACUAAAUUACGUGCCAGCAGUCGCGGUAAUACGUAGAAGACUAGUGUUAUUCAUCUUUAAUAGGUUUAAAGGGUACCUAGACGGUAAAUCAAGUCCAAAAAGGAUACUAAUUUGCUAGAGUUUAAUGUGAGGGGGCACUAAAGUACUGAUAAGUGUAGAGAUGAAAUUCUGUGUACAUUAAGGACAGGUAAAGGCGAAAGCAUCUCAUAUGUAAUAACUGACGUUGAGGGACGAAGGCUAGGAGAAGCAAAAAGGAUUAGAUACCCAAGUAGUCUUAGCAGAAAAUUAUGAAUGUCAUAGGAUGGAAAUAGUGGAUAACAAUUUUUUUUUCUAUAAAUGAAAGUGUAAGCAUUCCACCUCGAGAGUAAUUUGGCAACAUUGGAACUGAAAUCAUUAGACCGUUUCUGAAACAAGUAGUGAAGUAUGUUGUUUAAUUUGAUGGUCCGCAAAAAACCUUACCACAAUUUGGAUAGAAAUUUUUAUUUUAUACAAGCGCUGCACGGUUGUCUCCAGUUAAUGUCGUGAGAUCUUGGUUAGUUCCAUUAAAUUAACGUAAACCCUUACUUUAUUAUAUAAGAGUAGUUCACCGCUAGAUUGGAGUGUGAUACAGGGACUA
rnacentral:rRNA from 1 species